AAAUGUUUUUUUAACAACUUUUCUGUAGGUUUUCUAAUAUUCAUUAUAUUUGUAUAAUUGAAUUUCUUCUUUUCCAAUCUUUCUGAUUCUUUUUGCUGAGUUGAAUUUACAUGGCAAAGAAAGAGAAAGCAGUACGUGAGAUUAUGGAAGAAGAGGAAGAGCUUCAAGUUCAUGAUUUAGUAGAAAAUAGAAAGAAAAUCAACAGUAGCAGAAACCCCAUUAGAGGUCACUGACGAUGACCUUGUGACACCAGAAGCUGUUGAAGAAAAGGCAAUACAUCUGUUGACGAGUUUCUGAGCUGUUGGCUUUGUUCCUGCCCUUGUGACAAUAUUUGCUUCUGCUGUUAGUUGAUAUGAAUAUAAAGCGUAACCCUAAACCAUUGGAUCAUCUUUGGGUGGUCAAUAUAACAACCUAAUUAAAGGUUGCAUGACUUUAACCCUAAACCAUUGUCUAUCUAUGCAAGAUGCAAUGGUCAGUAACUCACAGUUAGAUCCUUUCUCCACUCAAACAAAAUAGUUACCGUGGCUUCUACUUCUAUCACGGCAUAAAUAAACACCGAUUUCUAAUUUUU
rnacentral:sRNA from 1 species